UACGUAGGGGGCAAGCGUUGUCCGGAUUCAUUGGGCGAAAGAGCGUGUAGGCGGCCAGGUAGGUCGGUUGUGAAAACUGGAGGCUCAACCUUCAGACGUCGAUCGAAACCAUCUGGCUAGAGUCCGGGAGAGGAGAGUGGAAUUCCUGGUGUAGCGGUGAAAUGCGCAGAUAUCAGGAAGAACACCCGUGGCGAAAGCGGCUCUCUGGAACGGUACUGACGCUGAGACGCGAAAGCGUGGGGAGCGAACAGG
rnacentral:rRNA from 1 species